rnacentral:rRNA from 1 species
AACCAGACUCCUACGGGAGGCAGCAGUGAGGAAUAUUGGUCAAUGGCCGAGAGGCUGAACCAGCCAAGUCGCGUGAGGGAAGACGGCCCUACGGGUUGUAAACCUCUUUUGUCAGGGAGCAAUUGGCGCUACGUGUAGCGUUAUCGAGAGUACCUGAAGAAAAAGCAUCGGCUAACUCCGUGCCAGCAGCCGCGGUAAUACGGAGGAUGCGAGCGUUAUCCGGAUUUAUUGGGUUUAAAGGGUGCGUAGGCGGAAUGCCAAGUCAGCGGUAAAAUCGCGGGGCUCAACCUCGCUCCGCCGUUGAAACUGGCGUUCUUGAGUGGGCGAGAAGUAUGCGGAAUGCGUGGUGUAGCGGUGAAAUGCAUAGAUAUCACGCAGAACUCCGAUUGCGAAGGCAGCGUACCGGCGCCCAACUGACGCUCAUGCACGAAAGCGUGGGUAUCGAACAGGAUUAGAUACCCUAGUA